rnacentral:rRNA from 1 species
GAUGAACGCUGGCGGCGUGCUUAACACAUGCAAGUCGAACGAGAAGUGAAGACGGAAACCUUCGGGCGGAAGGCUUUAUUUCGAGUGGCGGACGGGUGAGUAACGCGUGGGUAACCUGCCUCAUACAGGGGGAUAACAGUUGGAAACGACUGUUAAUACCGCAUAAGACCACAGCACCGCAUGGUGCGGGGGUAAAAACUCCGGUGGUAUGAGAUGGACCUGCGUUCGAUUAGCCAGUUGGCGGGGUAACGGCCCACCAAAGCGACGAUCGAUAGCCGAUCUGAGAGGAUGACCGGCCACAUUGGGACUGAGACACGGCCCAAACUCCUACGGGAGGCAGCAGUGGGGAAUAUUGCACAAUGGGGGAAACCCUGAUGCAGCGACGCCGCGUGAGUGAAGAAGUAUUUCGGUAUGUAAAGCUCUAUCAGCAGGGAAGAAAAUGACGGUACCUGAGUAAGAAGCCCCGGCUAACUACGUG